CGCGGUAAUUCCAGCUCCAAUAGCGUAUAUUAAAGUUGUUGCGGUUAAAAAGCUCGUAGUUGGAUCUGUGUCUUACGAUGUCGGUUCACCGCUCGCGGUCAACUGGCAUGUCUUGUGGGACGUCCUGUCGGUGGUGGUCCGUGCCCUCGGAUAUGUGUAGGGUUCGCCCGAAGCAUGCCGUGGGUUCCGGCUGCCGAUUCAAUCCCGCCGCGGUGCUCUUGACUGAGUGUCGAGGUGGGCCGGCACGUUUACUUUGAACAAAUUAGAGUGCUUAAAGCAGGCUGAUUUCUGCCUGAAUACUGUGUGCAUGGAAUAAUGGAAUAGGACUUCGGUUCUAUUUUGUUGGGGUUUUAAGAAUCCGAAGUAAUGAUUAAUAGGGACAGUCGGGGGCAUUCGUAUUGCGACGUUAGAGGUGAAAUUCUUGGAUCGUCGCAAGACGUACCUAAGCGAAAGCAUUUGCCAAGUAUGUCUUCGUUAAUCAAGAACGAAAGUUAGAGGUUCGAAGGCGAUCAGAUACCGCCCUAGUUCUAACCAUAAACGAUGCCAGCCAGCGAUCCGCCGAAGUUCCUCCGAUGACUCGGCGGGCAGCUUCCGGGAAACCAAAGCUUUUGGGUUCCGGGGGAAGUAUGGUUGCAAAGCUGAAACUUAAAGGAAUUGACGGAAGGGCACCACCAGGAGUGGAGCCUGCGGCUUAAUUUGACUCAACACGGGAAACCUCACCAGGCCCGGACACCGGAAGGAUUGACAGAUUGAUAGCUCUUUCUUGAUUCGGUGGGUGGUGGUGCAUGGCCGUUCUUAGUUGGUGGAGCGAUUUGUCGGGUUAAUUCCGAUAACGAACGAGACUCUAGCCUGCUAACUAGGCGUUUCCGGUAUCCACAAUAGUGCUACCGGCGAAUAAAAAUUCUUCUUAGAGGGACAGGCGGCUUCUAGCCGCACGAGACUGAGCAAUAACAGGUCUGUGAUGCCCUUAGAUGCCCUGGGCCGCACGCGCGCUACACUGAAGGAAUCAGCGUGUCUUCCCUGGCCGAAAGGUCCGGGUAACCCGUUGAACCUCCUUCGUGCUAGGGAUUGGGGCUUGCAAUUGUUCCCCAUGAACGAGGAAUUCCCAGUAAGCGCGAGUCAUAAGCUCGCGUUGAUUACGUCCCUGCCCUUUGUACACACCG
rnacentral:rRNA from 1 species